rnacentral:rRNA from 1 species
UACGAAGGGGGCUAGCGUUGCUCGGAUUUACUGGGCGUAAAGCGCACGUAGGCGGAUUGUUAAGUUGGGGGUGAAAUCCCAGGGCUCAACCCUGGAACUGCCUUCAAUACUGGCAAUCUAGAGUCCGGAAGAGGUGAGUGGAACUCCUAGUGUAGAGGUGGAAUUCGUAGAUAUUAGGAAGAACACCAGUGGCGAAGGCGGCUCACUGGUCCGGUACUGACGCUGAGGUGCGAAAGCGUGGGGAGCAAACAGG